AACGAACGCUGGCGGCAUGCCUAACACAUGCAAGUCGAACGAGACCUUCGGGUCUAGUGGCGCACGGGUGCGUAACGCGUGGGAAUCUGCCCUUGGGUUCGGAAUAACAGCGAGAAAUUGCUGCUAAUACCGGAUGAUGACGUAAGUCCAAAGAUUUAUCGCCCAAGGAUGAGCCCGCGUAGGAUUAGCUAGUUGGUGAGGUAAAGGCUCACCAAGGCGACGAUCCUUAGCUGGUCUGAGAGGAUGCUCAGCCACACUGGGACUGAGACACGGCCCAGACUCCUACGGGAGGCAGCAGUGGGGAAUAUUGGACAAUGGGCGAAAGCCUGAUCCAGCAAUGCCGCGUGAGUGAUGAAGGCCUUAGGGUUGUAAAGCUCUUUUACCCGGGAUGAUAAUGACAGUACCGGGAGAAUAAGCUCCGGCUAACUCCGUGCCAGCAGCCGCGGUAAU
rnacentral:rRNA from 1 species